rnacentral:rRNA from 1 species
UGGGGAAUCUUCCGCAAUGGGCGCAAGCCUGACGGAGCAACGCCGCGUGGGGGACGAAGGCCUUCGGGUUGUAAACCCCUGUCAGUGGGAACGAGGGGCUCAGCGGUGAACAGUCGCUGGGCUUGACGGUACCCGCAGAGGAAGCCACGGCCAACUCCGUGCCAGCAGCCGCGGUAAUACGGAGGUGGCGAGCGUUGUUCGGAAUUACUGGGCGUAAAGGGCGCGUAGGCGGGGGGAGAAGUCGGGUGUGAAAGCCCUCGGCUCAACCGAGGAACGGCGCUCGAGACUCUCUCUCUUGAGUCCCGGAGAGGACGAUGGAAUUCCCGGUGUAGCGGUGAAAUGUGUAGAGAUCGGGAGGAACACCGGUGGCGCAGGCGGUCGUCUGGACGGUGACUGACGCUGAGGCGCGAAAGCGUGGGGAGCAAACGGG